rfam:Nocardia farcinica IFM 10152 DNA, complete genome.
UCGGUUCCGGUUCACGUUCACGCCCGUGGGCGACCCGGCGACC